rnacentral:rRNA from 1 species
UGCGUAGGCGGCCUAGUAAGUUGGGUGUGAAAUCCCUCGGCUCAACCGAGGAACUGCGCUCAAAACUGCUAGGCUUGAGGAAGACAGAGGUGAGCGGAACUCAGGGUGGAGCGGUGAAAUGCGUUGAUAUCCUGGGGAACACCAGUAGCGAAGGCGGCUCACUGGGUCUUUUCUGACGCUGAGGCACGAAAGCUAGGGGAGCGAACAGGAUUAGAUACCCUGGUAGUCC